rnacentral:rRNA from 1 species
GACGAACGCUGGCGGCGUGCUUAACACAUGCAAGUCGAACGGAAAGGCCCUGCUUUUGUGGGGUGCUCGAGUGGCGAACGGGUGAGUAACAUGUGAGUAACCUGCCCUUGACUUUGGGAUAACUUCAGGAAACUGGGGCUAAUACCGGAUAGGAGCUCCUGCUGCAUGGUGGGGGUUGGAAAGUUUCGGCGGUUGGGGAUGGACUCGCGGCUUAUCAGCUUGUUGGUGGGGUAGUGGCUUACCAAGGCUUUGACGGGUAGCCGGCCUGAGAGGGUGACCGGCCACAUUGGGACUGAGGUACGGCCCAGACUCCUACGGGAGGCAGCAGUGGGGAAUAUUGCACAAUGGGCGGAAGCCUGAUGCAGCAACGCCGCGUGCGGGAUGACGGCCUUCGGGUUGUAAACCGCUUUCGCAUGUGACGAAGCGUGAGCGACGGUAAUGGGUAAAGAAGCACCGGCUAACUACGUG